GGAUCAUCGUAGGAAAAAAAUUUUGCAUUUGGAUCCAUAUCAAGGUCGGUAAUGACAGUGCUGUGUUGUUGGUUGUCUAAGUCUAACGGAUAACCAUCUUAACCACAAGAAUCUACAGGUCGAGCAAGUCUCGUAAAUUUCACGAUUGCGAGCCACGCUUCACGCAACCGUGUUUGCGUACUUGUGUUUCGAGUUGCGUGGUCGUGCGGAGUUAUAUUUACCAAAUUUAAAUGUAAUCGUUUCUACUGAUAAUAAUAUACUAUUCUCAAUAUGGCUACUGGGUGUAAAAGAUAAAUCUUAUUCUAUCUGUUCUUCAUGAGUUUUAGAUAAUUUUAGUUGUAUUUCUUUGUAAUUUUGUGUUGUACAAAGAUUAAUUUAACAUUUUCUCUGGAAGUAUUAAUUUAGAAAGAUAAUAUGCUUCAUUGGUGUUGUGUUUUGAAGUGUGAAAUGCAAAGUAAUUGUGAAGUCAAGAUAAAGUUCACUUUUAAACUGAACUAAAUAAGGUAUCUGAGAGACAACAAUGGUUAAAUGCAAUACAAUGUACAGGUUUUACUAGCGAAAUGAAAAUUUUCCUGUCCUGUCUGCUGUAAUCAUUUUAUAUCUGGUAAGUUACAAUUACAACAGUAACGAUUUUUGAAGAUGUUAACAUUUUAAUCUUAUAGGAAAAUAGGAAAACCAGCCGACUUAAUCGAUAAUAACAAUCUCCAGAUUGGGUUCCUUCAAUAAAUAUGGGCUAUAAACACAAUGAAAUAAGUUCCCCAAAAUCUAAAAUGGAGUGGUAUCAAAGGAGAAUUAAAGGAAAUAAUAUUCAUAUUGAAAUUAUUUAUAAGGCACUGGACUGUCUUAAAUUCUACAAUAAUACUAGAAUCAGCUGAGAGAAGUGGUCUACAAAAAACCAGGAAGGAAACGGAAUAUGUGGCUACGAAAGGCAAAAGAAAGGUUUACAAAGCAAAUGUGACACAUUUUUUUAAAAUAUUUAGGAAUAUCAGUAAAUUGCAUUAAAAAAUGUAUGAAAAGAUUUUGUUCAAUAAAAAUGUUUAUAUUUA